CCUACGGGUGGCAGCAGUGGGGGAUAUUGCACAAUGGGGGGAACCCUGAUGCAGCGACGCCGCGUGGGUGAAGGAGCGUUUCGGCGCGUAAAGCCCUAUCGGCAGGGAAGAAGAAGGACGGUAACUGACUAAGAAGCCCCGGCUAACUACGGGCCAGCAGCCGCGGUAAUACGAAGGGGGCAAGCGUUAUCCGGAUUUACUGGGGGGAAGGGGGGAGGAGACGGCAGCGCAAGACAGGUGGGAAAGCCCGGGGCCCAACCCCGGGACUGCUCUUGGAACUGCGCGGCUGGAGUGCAGGAGGGGCAGGCGGAAUUCCUGGUGUAGCGGUGAAAUGCGUAGAUAUCAGGAGGAACACCGGUGGCGAAGGCGGCCUGCUGGACUGCGACUGACGUUGAGGCCCGAAAGCGUGGGGAGCAAACAGGAUUAGAUACCCGGGUAGUC
rnacentral:rRNA from 1 species